AAAAUCCGUUGGUCCUUGCAAACCGUGAGGGUUCAAAUCCCUCUACCCUUA
rnacentral:tRNA from 1 species